GGAGAGAGCCAAAGCUCGCGGGGGGGGGGGGGGAGAGAAGAAAGGCGACCCAGCCCCGCGUCACCUGGGAUCCCCUGCUCUUGCUUUUCCCAAACGAUCCCAACCCGGAAAAACGAAAGCAGCCGAAGGGGAGGCGGCGCAAAAGAACUCGACUCCACAGAAAGCUGGGAAAAGAAAAUGUUUUGGGGGGGAAAUAAUAAUAAAGGCCGCCGCCUACCUGUAGCUCUCCAAACUGGAGCUACUGCCCCAGCUACUCCUUGCCUCCCAGCAAACCGAAGGUGGAACUCUUCCCUCCCUCCUUUUCCCUCUCUCUCUCUGCCUGCAUUCACUCUUUCCGCCGCUUGGUGUCCGAGGGUUACUUUCUCACACACGCACACACAGGAAGAAUCACGGCAGGUAUCCUCUGUCUCCCAAAUAAUCACAUUUUCUAAAUCACGGUUGCCCUCCCCACCCCUCCACCAUCACCUACUGGGGUGCUUUGUGUAACAGGUGAGAGAGAGAUAAGAGUAUAAAGUUGGGAGGAACCCAGCAGUGGGCAAAACGGCUACGGAGGCAACUGCUGUGGCAGUUCAACGUUUUCUCUGGCUUCUGCUCUCCCGCCCCCUUUUCUCUCUCCCGCAGUAUUUAUUUACGGUCCUAGUAACUCUUUACCCAGCGGAGCUCGCUCCUAGGAAAAAAAAUUGACAUAAGAUUGGAGCCUUAGGAGCUGGAUUGUGUUACUGUGUCCCGCUGCAAGCUGGGAGCAAAGAACAGUCAACACACUCCAAGUUGCACCCAAACGUACUAGCCCAGUUGCCCCAAUCUAGUUAUUUGUGUAUUUCUGUAUUUAUGUCCCAAGAUUUAUAUAUCAUUUGAUUGCAAAGCAGUUUACCAAAAAAAGUAAAACAGUAACUUACUUGGUAAAAACAGUUCAACUACUAUUUAAAAGUUUUUUGUUUUUUUUAAAUUAUAAACUAAACACCAGAUUAAAGCACACGCCCACAUUCUCCCUGUUUGGAGAGGCUUGCCUAAACAAAAGUGGUUUUAGCAGGCUCCCAAAAGAGUACAGUACAGUGAAGGCACUGCCUGGUGUCAAUAGGUGAAGAGUUGCAAAACACUAAAAGAUGAAUUUCUUACAAAUGUGGGACAAGUAUUAUGUGGCACCUGUAACAGUGCCAGUUCUGCAGAUCAAAGAGGUUAAGUGGGCAUAUAUGGGGUAAGGUGAUCUCUCAAGUAAACUAGGCCAAACUGCUAAGCGUGCCUCCAAAUCCCAUUCCCCAGAGCUGAUCCAGGAGGAUACCAUGGUCAAUGGCAUCAAAAGCCAAAGAGAGAUCAAGAAGCAGGAGCCUGGUUGCAUUCCGCUUGUCUCAUUCUCUGCCUCUGGAUGGAUGAGUAUGGUCUUAUAUUAUUAUGGACCAAUUUGACAUUUGGAAACAGUACCACCAAACCAUAGGGCUCAGCAGAUAAGCUACCAGUAACUUAUAAAGGAGUGAGAAGACUAGAACAAGGAAUAAUGACCCUAUGUCAGCUGGAUAGCUCAGUUGGUUAGAGCAUGGUGAUGAUAAUGCCAAGGUUGUAGGUUUGAUCUCUGUAGGGACAGCUGCAUUUUCCUGCAUUGCAGGGGGUUGGACUACACUAGAGAUCCUCAGGGUUCCUUCCAACUCUAUGAUUCUACCUAAGCCUCUGCCUCAGAUAGUGGUCAGACUCAGCUCCUCCAUCCCAACUGUACCUUCCCUUGCCCACUGCCACUGAAAUUGGGGCAAUAUCUUGGCAACUCCCCGCUACCUGCCCACCCAGACACAUUUUACACUGUCAUUCAAUAACAUCAUAUAUAACUGGGAAGUUAGAGCCACUUAGGCCCAGCACAUGCCACACUGUCAGGAGAAAGAUGGUAAGGCCACUUCAACCUUUCUCCCUCUGUCUAACACUCAGGGGGAACCUCACCAAACCACGCUGCCCCUCUAGAAGACUCUCACCCUAAGUGAGGGUCACAGGCCUGUCUCCCACAGCAUCAAGCCUAUAAUUCUUUACCUUGAUUGACAGUGGGGAACACCUGUUACUCCCUGAAGUGAUGACCCAAAGCAGCAAUCUCUUUGGGUAGUGCCUCCUUGCUAAAUGACCCUGCUGCCCACAACAGAGCCAGUUCAUAUUGCAAGGCAGGCUCUGGCCCACACCCCAGCUGUAUUCACUCAGCCAGCAAUCAAACAGUACCCAACACUGCAAUCAGCACACUCUUACCUGCAGGGAAAUAUCUCACUGGACAAACAAACUGAUGCAGACAGAAAACAUACACAGACUAGGCAGGAGCCAGAAUGGUGCCAACCAGUCCCUCUGUAGGUCUGCUCCAAGAUUUUCCAAGAUCGUAACAAUUAUUCUCUUUGCUUCAUUAAUAGUUAAGAAUUCCACUCCUGCCAAACUACCACUUCUACAAGGACUGAGGGAGAAACGCCCACCUGUCUGGUCUCCACUAUAAGAUUUCACAGGCCAGGAAAUUUAGAUUGUGUGAAAUGGGAUACUGAUCUAUCCAUUCAGGGAGCAAAUUGAUUAUAAAAUGUACCAUUCCUGGACAGAGUGCUUAAUUUAGAACUUUAGCAUCAACCACCUAUGUCCUUGAUGGCUUUUAUUAGCACAUUAUAGGUUUACAUGUAUAUACAUAUUUAUAGAUAAAUAUUAAAAUUCAAUACAUUAAGCAUACUCUAGUACAGAUAUCACACAAAUGAAAAUAAAUUUGUCAAAGCAAAAUUCAGAAUGGUUAAUAUUAUGUAUGCCGUAUACUUUUGGAGGCAGUAGACCUCUGAAGACCAGUUGUUGCAGAUGGCAGUCCAGUUCAACUGUAGUAAUAUAUAAUACCAUUGGCCGUUAAAUUUAUAAGAGUAUUUCUAAAACUUUUUGAAUUUGGACUUUAAAAAAACUUAGUUUACUACCUCCCCACUUCUGCAUGUCCACAAACACAAGCCAAGAGUAGAGGCUAAUCCAGAUUCAAUACUGUAGUUCCAUGCUGUAAAUGCCUUGUGUUACUUACCACAGCAGCUGCAUUACAUAAGUGAAAGAGGGAUCAAGUGUGAUCCUAUCCCCCACUCUCACAGUGUUCAGGAGAGGCUAGGAAUACAAAUUCAAGUUUUAAUCUCUCUUUUAUUUUUCAAAGAGCUAUUAUUCCAUAAGAACUUUGGGGGAUAAAUAAUUAAAGACACAAAGAAAAGAGUCCCAUAGAUCAACAAAAGAUGAAUGGCAAGUGCUUGCCCUGCUGUUGAAUAGUGUGCUUCAUUAAUUUAUACUGGUGUGGUAUCUAAUUCUAGGUAACAAAACAUUGAAUGGAAGACCUCAAACAGUACAUAAUAGAUUUAGGGUCAGUUGAUAUGACUCAUGGGGUGCAUGCCUAACAACCACCUAUUUUCUGUCUAUGACUGCAAAAGAUUUUUGCAAAUUCAGAUGCUGGUGAACCUAUUGCACUGCAGUAAUCAGAAGAAACUAGAGAUCAACAUGGCAUUGUAAGUGAUACAGCAGUAGAAGCUGCCUUCUUUAAUGAUUGUUUCACUCUGCAUGACAAAUUUCAGAACAUUUUCAGCAGAAAAAUAGUCGGCCAUUCACCCAACAUUUACAUGAAGCUCAAAAGCCUUGGGAUGGUUAACAGGUGCAGGGCCCAGGAGACCGCCCCCACCAUUUCCUCCGUAGGAAUUGGGAGGAGACCGGCAGUGCCUCCUAUUCACCGAGAGGCUGAUGUCAAGGUAGCAUUGGGAAGGCUGUAGAGCAGAGGUAGGCAACCUAAGGCCCAGGGGCCGGGUGCAGCCCAAUCGCCUUCUCAAUCCGUCCCACGGACAGUCUGGAAUCAGCGUGUUUUUACAUGAGUAGAAUGUGUCCUUUUACUGUAUUUAAAAUGCAUCUCUAGGUUAUUUGUGGGGCAUAGGAAUUCGUUUAUUUUCCCCCCCCCAAAAAAAAAUAUAGUCCGGCCCCCCACAUGGUCUGAGGGAUGGUGGACUGGCCCAUGGCUGAAAAAGGUUGCUGACCCCUGCUGUAGGGGUGUGGCAGAUCUGGCUUCCAAGGAGUGUGUUGCAGCUGCUGCUGCUACUGUGGCGGUGGUGGUGGUGGUAAGUGAUGCAUCCUGUCACCUGUGGCGGUUGCCUCACCUUGCCCCAUGGGUGGACCAGUCCUGGUUGUAUGCAACCAAGUAAUUGCACGAGAGGAACUCACUUUCCAUAUCCUUCUCCUGUGUGCCCCUCCCAAAUCUGCUCUGGCGUUUCCCAAAACCCUCUAGAGUUGAUUUGGGAGUGGGCAUGAAAGGUGAGGAUGGGGAGGAGAAGUUCCACUCACACAGUGUCUUAGUUAGAUUUAACUCCCCUUUUUUUAGUUACUGCAUUUUACUUCCACUGUUCAUGUCAUUUAAACCAGCUGUGCAGUAUUAUUACUAUUAUCAGUGGGAGUGUCUUCAAUCCUGCAAAACAAGUUAGGCACCCUCUCCUGCACCUUCCUCUCUGCCCCAUCUUUAACCUUUCACCUCAAUCAGAUGGGAGUGAAUCUGUUGAAAAGAAAUGUUGUCCUCCAUUUUACUCUGUACGACUGAAAUGUCAUUUUUAUUUUUAGGACACUGCUUAAUAAGUUUGCUGAAGCAACACAGAUAGCAGCAUGAGAGCCAGUGUGGUGUAGUGGUUAAGAGCAAUAGACUCGUAAUCUGGCGUACCAGGUUCGCGUCUCCGCUCCUCCACAUGCAGCUGCUCGGUGACCUUGGGCCAGUCACACUUCUUUGAAGUCUCUCAGCCCCACUCACCUCACAGAGUGUUUGUUGUGGGGGAGGAAGGGAAAGGAGAAUGUUAGCCGCUUUGAGACUCCUUCGCAUAGUGAUAAAGCGGGGUAUCAAAUCCAAACUCUUCUUCUUCUUCAUUAUAUAUCUUCUAUUUAGAUUUGAAAGAGGGUUUCCAAAUAUGUAAAGCGGGGCUCUGUAGGUAUGUCAUGUACCCACCUACAGAACAUCCAUCUUGUAAGGAUUCCGUUUCAGUGCACUGGCCCUCAUCCAGCCUGUUAUUGUUUUCCAGGCUCUGAUCCAGCUGCUUCUGUGCCUCACCUGAUUCUGAUGGAAUGGAGUGAUAGAUCUGGGUGUCAUCAGCAACUAAUAUAGAACAGAAACUUGCAUAGGGAUCAGGCCUCCUCACAUGACUUAAGCUGUUCUGACCUAUGAAUACUCAAGAGGCUUCUUAAGUUUUAGCUGGUCAAAGAAUGAAACUACAUUAUUUUUACAUGUGCAAUAGUUACUGCUGAUACACUGUGUGGAUUUUUGUCAGUAACACUAUGGCUUGGAUGCCACGUUCCUGUGAACAGAAUUCUGCUCACACAGCGCCAGGGUGGGAAAGCAAUUUCACCCUUCCCUAUGCAGCCAUGGAAAUCUGCCCUAGAGAGUUUAGCACCCUCUGGAACAGUGCAGGAAGUGGCACCGGAGGCUGUGGGGAAAAGAAAGAAUUGUGGGGCGGGGGACCCCGGAAGGGCAAUGUAAGAUCCAAUGUUGUAUAUUGACUAGAUCUGACAUUUUAUUUUGCCUUGGCUAACACUGAAAUCAAUAUGUUAUUAUGAGGAAGGAAUUGUGAAGCAAAUGUUAUCUUUAAAAUAGGAUAAGGUUCUGAAAUGUGUAUUGGAAUGACUUUUAAAUGGUGGAUUUAUGUGUGUUGUUGUGUGAGAGAAAAGAGAUUAAAUGUUUAUAGUUGUGAAGAAAAGCUUUGAAAAGGGACAAAUGUGUAGUAAAGGCAAUUAAGUAUGACCUCAUCCCAUGCAUUCAAGCAUGGUUUUUUCCCCCCUUUUUCCUGGAAGUCUAAUAUUAUUUUCUAGUCUUUCAGGUUCACUCCCCUGAAGGUGCUACAGGUUUCCCAUUCUCCCCCCACUUUUCUCCCCCCUUUCUUUUUUUGAAGUGGAGGACACUAAGUACCAAGCCAGCUAGGAGGCCCUGUUUAAGAGAGAAAGCAUAUUUUAUUACUGCUGAGUGGACAAAAAAGUGGUCAAACCAGCAGCAGCAAGUCCAGUGGAAACACACCAAAAAGAAACAAGAAAUAAAGCUGAUACAAGAAAACUUAAUUGUCAAAAGAGAAAUACAGGGAGAAGCAGCAGCAGCUUACAUUCAACACAUGCUGAGGUAAAUCUGUUCCUCAGGGGUCAUACAGAAAUUCUGUGAACAUGUUCCAAAUCUCAAUGAGGCAACAUCAGCUACAGCGUUCUCUGAU
rnacentral:lncRNA from 1 species